UCCGAGUUGACCCCGGCAGUCUCCCAUGAGUCCCCACCAUUACGUGCUGGCAACAUGGAACGAGGGUUGCGCUCGUUGCGGGACUUAACCCAACAUCUCACGACACGAGCUGACGACAACCAUGCACCACCUGUACAGGGCCCUUACGGACCUGCCAUCUCUGACAGUUUUCCCUGCAUGUCAAGCCUUGGUAAGGUUCUUCGCGUUGCAUCGAAUUAAUCCGCAUGCUCCGCCGCUUGUGCGGGCCCCCGUCAAUUCCUUUGAGUUUUAGCCUUGCGGCCGUACUCCCCAGGCGGGGCGCUUAAUGCGUUAGCUGCGGCACGGAACCCGUGGAUAGGACCCCACACCUAGCGCCCAACGUUUACGGCAUGGACUAC
rnacentral:misc_RNA from 1 species